GCGGACGUGGCGAAAUUGGUAGACGCACUAGAUUUAGGUUCUGGCGCCGAGAGGUGUGAGAGUUCGAGUCUCUCCGUCCGCACCA
rnacentral:tRNA from 1 species